UACGUAGGGGGCUAGCGUUGUCCGGAAUCAUUGGGCGUAAAGCGCGUGUAGGCGGUCCGGUAAGUCCGCUGUGAAAGUCGGGGGCUCAACCCUCGGAUGCCGGUGGAUACUGUCGGGCUUGAGUACGGAAGAGGCGAGUGGAAUUCCUGGUGUAGCGGUGAAAUGCGCAGAUAUCAGGAGGAACACCGGUGGCGAAGGCGGGUCUCUGGGCCGGAACUGACGCUGAGGAGCGAAAGCGUGGGUAGCAAACCGG
rnacentral:rRNA from 1 species